rnacentral:rRNA from 1 species
UUGGAGGGCAAGUCUGGUGCCCGCAGCCGCGGUAAUUCCAGCUCCAAUAGCGUAUAUUAAAGUUGUUGCAGUUAAAAGCUCGUAGUUGAAUUUCGGGAUCAGUACGCUGGUCGUGCCUUCGGUAUGCACUGGUUUCACUGAUUCCUCCCUUCUGAAGAACCGUAAUGCCAUUCAGUUGGUGUGGCGGAGAAUCAGGAUUGUUACUUUGAAAAAUUGAGUGUUUAAAGCAGGCUCGCGCUUGAAUACAUUAGCAUGGAAUAAUGAAAUAGGACGUUUGGUCCUAUUUUGUUGGUUUCUAGGAUUGACGUAAUGAUUAAUAGGGAUAGUUGGGGGCAUUAGUAUUCAAUUGUCAGAGGUGAAAUUCUUGGAUUUAUCGAAGACUAACUACUGCGAAAGCAUUUGCCAAGGAUGUUUUCAUUAAUCAAGAACGAAAGUUAGGGGAUCGAAGACGAUCAGAUACCGUCGUAGUCUUAACCAUAAACUAUGCCGACUAGGGAUCGGAUGAUGUAAUUUUAA